rnacentral:rRNA from 1 species
GGGGCGAAGGGCGACUCUCUGGGCUGUUACUGACGCUGAGGCGCGAAAGCGUGGGGGAGCAAACAGGGUUAGAUACCCUGGUAGUCCACGCCGUAAAACGAUGAAUGCUAGGUGUUAGGGGGUUUCGAUACCCUUGGUGCCGAAGUUAACACAUUAAGCAUUCCGCCUGGGGAGUACGGUCGCAAGACUGAAACUCAAAGGAAUUGACGGGGACCCGCACAAGCAGUGGAGUAUGUGGUUUAAUUCGAAGCAACGCGAAGAACCUUACCAGGUCUUGACAUCCCUCUGACCGGUCUAGAGAUAGAUCUUUCCUUCGGGACAGAGGAGACAGGUGGUGCAUGGUUGUCGUCAGCUCGUGUCGUGAGAUGUUGGGUUAAGUCCCGCAACGAGCGCAACCCUUAUGCUUAGUUGCCAGCAGGUCAAGCUGGGCACUCUAAGCAGACUGCCGGUGACAAACCGGAGGAAGGUGGGGAUGACGUCAAAUCAUCAUGCCCCUUAUGACCUGGGCUACACACGUACUACAAUGGCCGGUACAACGGGAAGCGAAGCCGCGAGGUGGAGCCAAUCCUAGAAAAGCCGGUCUCAGUUCGGAUUGUAGGCUGCAACUCGCCUACAUGAAGUCGGAAUUGCUAGUAAUCGCGGAUCAAGCCAGCUGCCCAG